rnacentral:rRNA from 1 species
CACCGACACGUUGAACGCAUAUGGCGCAUCGGACGUUUCAACCCGACCGAUGUACACAUUCUUGAGUGCCUAC